ensembl:misc_RNA Y_RNA Y RNA
GGCUGGUCUAAAGGUAGUGAGUUAUGUCAAUUGAUUGUUCAUAAUCAGUUACAGAUGGAACUUGUUCUACUCUUCCCCCAAUUCUCACUACUGCACUUGACUAGUAUUAA